UACGAAGGCGGCUAGCGAUGUUCGGAAUCACUGGGCGUAAAGCGCACGUAGGCGGCGCGUUAAGUCAGGGGUGAAAUCCUGGAGCUCAACUCCAGAACUGCCCUUGAUACUGGCGUGCUCGAGUGUGGGAGAGGUUGGUGGAACUCCGAGUGUAGAGGUGAAAUUCGUAGAUAUUCGGAAGAACACCAGUGGCGAAGGCGGCCAACUGGCCCAGUACUGACGAUGAGGUGCGAAAGAGUGGGGAGCAAACAGG
rnacentral:rRNA from 1 species